GCGCUUGUGGCGGAAUUCGGUAUACGCACUGGUUUCAGGUACCAGGCAUUGAGGGUUCGAAUCCCUCCGAGCGCACCA
rnacentral:tRNA from 1 species